rfam:Bacillus licheniformis ATCC 14580, complete genome.
UAGCGCCACACGUUUAAUCCUUUAGUAGGAGUGGGGGACCCGAUCAUUUGGGGUGAAUUUUUCUGUUCCCGUGCGAACCGAAAGACGGACAUCUCUUCGUCCGAACCCGUCAGCUAACCUCAUCAACGUGAAGAGAGUCAUG